AAUAGGAUGUCCGAAAAAGAGUUACCUUGAUGGGGUAAAAAAUGUGGUCACACCACUCUUAUUA
rnacentral:tRNA from 1 species